rnacentral:rRNA from 1 species
UACACUCCUGCGGGAGGCAGCAGUGGGGAAUUUUGGACAAUGGGCGAAAGCCUGAUCCAGCAAUGCCGCGUGUGUGAAGAAGGCCUUCGGGUUGUAAAGCUCUUUUGUCCGGAAAGAAAUCCUUGGCUCUAAUACAGUCGGGGGAUGACGGUACCGGAAGAAUAAGCACCGGCUAACUACGUGCCAGCAGCCGCGGUAAUACGUAGGGUGCGAGCGUUAAUCGGAAUUACUGGGCGUAAAGCGUGCGCAGGCGGUUUGCUAAGACCGAUGUGAAAUCCCCGGGCUCAACCUGGGAACUGCAUUGGUGACUGGCAGGCUAGAGUAUGGCAGAGGGGGGUAGAAUUCCACGUGUAGCAGUGAAAUGCGUAGAGAUGUGGAGGAAUACCGAUGGCGAAGGCAGCCCCCUGGGCCAAUACUGACGCUCAUGCACGAAAGCGUGGGGAGCAAACAGGAUUAGAAACCCGGGUAGUCCCAU